rnacentral:rRNA from 1 species
GGCGAGUGGCGGACGGGUGAGGAAUACAUCGGAAUCUACUUUUUCGUGGGGGAUAACGUAGGGAAACUUACGCUAAUACCGCAUACGACCUACGGGUGAAAGCAGGGGAUCUUCGGACCUUGCGCGAUUGAAUGAGCCGAUGUCGGAUUAGCUAGUUGGCGGGGUAAAGGCCCACCAAGGCGACGAUCCGUAGCUGGUCUGAGAGGAUGAUCAGCCACACUGGAACUGAGACACGGUCCAGACUCCUACGGGAGGCAGCAGUGGGGAAUAUUGGACAAUGGGCGCAAGCCUGAUCCAGCCAUACCGCGUGGGUGAAGAAGGCCUUCGGGUUGUAAAGCCCUUUUGUUGGGAAAGAAAUCCAGCUGGCUAAUACCCGGUUGGGAUGACGGUACCCAAAGAAUAAGCACCGGCUAACUUCGUGCCAGCAGCCGCGGUAAUACGAAGGGUGCAAGCGUUACUCGGAAUUACUGGGCGUAAAGCGUGCGUAGGUGGUCGUUUAAGUCCGUUGUGAAAGCCCUGGGCUCAACCUGGGAACUGCAGUGGAUACUGGGCGACUAGAAUGUGGUAGAGGGUAGCGGAAUUCCUGGUGUAGCAGUGAAAUGCGUAGAGAUCAGGAGGAACAUCCAUGGCGAAGGCAGCUA